GUAGAGAUGUUACUUACUGACUUGAGUUCAUCCAUGCCAACUAGAUAGGUCAGACAUGUGAAUGUGCUGACCUGAACUUUUCAGUCAGAUAUCAAAUCUAAUGAUUUAGAAGAGACCUGAACCUAAAUCUUCUCACUAAAUAUUAAGUCUAAUAGUCUUCCACUAUUAUAGAGAUGUGGGUGUCUUCUUGAUAUUGAUCAUUCUCGACUGAUUAUAGUAGUUCGGUUGUAUC
rnacentral:lncRNA from 1 species